rnacentral:rRNA from 1 species
CCUACGGGAGGCAGCAGUGAGGAAUAUUGGUCAAUGGCCGAAAGUCUGAACCAGCCAAGUCGCGUGAAGGAUGAAGGUCCUAUGGUUUGUAAACUUCUUUUAUAUAGGAAUAAAAUGAUCCACGUGAGGGAUAUUGAAUGUACCAUAUGAAUAAGGAUCGGCUAACUCCGUGCCAGCAGCCGCGGUAAUACGGAGGAUCCGAGCGUUAUCCGGAUUUAUUGGGUUUAAAGGGAGCGUAGGUGGAUUGUUAAGUCAGUUGUGAAAGUUUGGGGCUCAACCGUAGAAUUGCAGUUGAAACUGGCAGUCUUGAGUACAGUAGAGGUAGGCGGAAUGCGUGGUGUAGCGGUGAAAUGCUUAGAUAUCACGAAGAACUCCGAUUGCGAAGGCAGCUCACUGGA